AUACUUACCUGGCAGAGGAGGCACCAUGAUCAGGCAGCUGGUUUUCCCAGGGUGAGGCUCAUCCCCUGCACUCUGGGUGUGCUGACCCCUGCGAUUUCCCCAAACGCGAGAAACUCAAUUGCAUAAUUUGUGGUAGUGGGGGACUACGUUCGUGCUUCAG
rnacentral:snRNA from 1 species